GAAGACUUGGAGAAGCUUGAAGUUAGUCUGUUUGCACAAUUAAAGUCCGUACAUUAAGGAGUAGUAUGUGUCUGUAGUAAAGGAGGCUGCAUUUUCUCCAUCUUCACGACAGCACCACCUACCAAACCGGACCUGCCUGCUCUCAGUGUUCCAUUCACAUCACUGAAGGAACCACUCAGGACACGUUAAUAUGAUGGACAGUCUGUCUUCACAAACCUGCACAACAGCAUGGGUUGGGACCUCCACCUGCACUUCAGCGUUUUCCAUCUCUCUGAGGGAUCUGAAGGUGUUCCACGCCCUAAAGAAGGCCCAAGCUGACAAUGCUGGCUUCUUCGCAUGCAGUUUUUGAAUGCAGCGUCCAGUUGUUUAUCUGCUGUUGACUGAAGGUCCAGCUGUUGGACUACGUUCUCAGAAGACUCACGGGGGUGGAUACGACUUCCAGGAAGACAGAUUUAUGAUGACCUUCUGACUUAUGGAAACUAGACGAUGGAGGCUCAUUGGUCACAGAAGGAGGUCUGUUCCCAGUGCCCACCAUUCUAGGACCUUGAAGACCUGUAAGGAAAUAGAGCUACUGUAACUUUUAAUUGAAAUGAAAUGAAAAGAGACACGCAUCUGCAUUUCCAGGUCAGUAUUGUUAAAAAUAAAGGCUGUUGUUUAAAUGGAGAUUAAUAAAUAAGCCAAAAUUC